rnacentral:rRNA from 1 species
UACGGAGGAUGCAAGCGUUAUCCGGAAUUAUUGGGCGUAAAGCGUCCGCAGGUGGUGCAUCAAGUCUGCUGUUAAAGACCAGGGCUUAACCCCGGGAAGGCAGUGGAAACUGGUGGACUAGAGUACGGUAGGGGUAGAGGGAAUUCCCAGUGUAGCGGUGAAAUGCGUAGAGAUUGGGAAGAACACCAGUGGCGAAGGCGCUCUACUGGACCUGUACUGACACUCAGGGACGAAAGCUAGGGUAGCGAAAGGG